rnacentral:misc_RNA from 1 species
UUUCCGUAGGUGAACCUGCGGAAGGAUCAUUAAUGUGUUUGGGCCUCACGGCCCUUCAUUCUGACGCUGUGCGCCUUCGGGCUGCACGCUGAGGGAGCAUAUAUCCACCCCUGUGCACACACACGGUGGCGAGCUGGGUAACGGCUCGCCGCUGAUCUUUACACACGUCUAAAAGUCAUUGUAUGUCUAUUUGGGAUAAAAACACAACUUUCAGCAACGGAUCUCUUGGCUCUC